CUGCAUGUUCCCAGGUUGAGGUAGUAGGUUGUAUAGUUUAGAAUUACAUCAAGGGAGAUAACUGUACAGCCUCCUAGCUUUCCUUGGGUCUUGCAC
ensembl:miRNA